ACAAACUUGGUCAUUUAGAGGAAGUAAAAGUCGUAACAAGGUUUCCGUAGGUGAACCUGCGGAAGGAUCAUUCACAAUAAAGUGUUUUUACUAGCACUUUUUAAAAAAAUCUAGUAUCCACCUUGUGUGCAACGUAAUUGUAUGAAGCCAAAGAUAGUUUUUAAUUAUCUUUGUUGGAUUAUAAUUUAACACCAACCGAUCUAUAACGUUUUGUCUGAAUUUAUUCUGAAAAUUUAAUUUCAAAAUAUAACUUUCAACAACGGAUCUCUUGGCUCUCGCAUCGAUGAAGAACGCAGC
rnacentral:misc_RNA from 1 species